AGCGAACGUUGGCGGCGUGCUUAACACAUGCAAGUCGAACGCGAAAGGAGACUUCGGUCUCCCGGUAGAGUGGCGCACGGGUGAGUAACACGUGAGUAACGUACCUUUAAGUGGGGAAUAACUGUUCGAAAGAGCAGCUAAUACCGCAUAAGACCACGCUGACUUAUGUCAGCGGGGCCAAAGCCUUCGGGCGCUUAAAGAUCGGCUCGCGGCCUAUUAGGUAGUUGGCGGGGUAAAGGCCCACCAAGCCGAAGAUAGGUAGCUGGUCUGAGAGGAUGAUCAGCCACACUGGAACUGAGACACGGUCCAGACUCCUACGGGAGGCAGCAGUGGGGAAUCUUGCGCAAUGGGCGAAAGCCUGACGCAGCAACGCCGCGUGAGUGAUGAAGGCCUUCGGGUCGUAAAGCUCUGUCAGAGGGGAAGAACACAAUG
rnacentral:rRNA from 1 species